UCACUCUGUCCUGUAUGAUUCGAUGAUUCUAUGAGCUGGGAGAGCGAUUGGAAAGCAGCAAAUAUCCCGAGUGGAAAGAGGAAAUGUCAGGUCAAACAGAAAGUGCUGUCCCUGCCUCCCCCAGACCGUGGCGGGGAAUCGUGUUGCAGACGCUCGGACACUGGCUGAUCCCACAGGAAAUGCUGACACAUUCCACUGAUUGAGAAAUCCCUGAGGGCCGUGUUGUGAAUGAAGGAAGCGGCUGCAAUUCAAACCUCCAGCCGCUGACUCACUCCGGUGGGCCGUGUGCAUUCAGGUAGCGCCGGGCCGCCCGUUGCCCGGUUUUGCAGCCGGUUCGCCUCCCAUCACAAUCUCAUAAAGAUCGGCUCGGCUUCAGCAAACGGCACAAGGUGGAGAAGCGCGGAUUGGAGCCGGCUCGAAGCUGCAGAAGAAGUUGGUGAGAUGUCGGAGCCGAAGCCCUGUGUGUGCCUGGAUGGAUCCUGCUCCUGUGAAAACACCUGCAGAUGCUCCAACUGUCAAUGUGCCACCAGCAAAGCUGGACGCUGCCAGAAAAGUUGCUGCUCUUGCUGUCCUGCAGCAUGCACCAACUGUGCCAAUGGCUGUGUGUGUAAGGGGAAAACCUCUGAGACAUGUACCUGCUGCUCCUGAACAACACGCUCUUCAGACACAACCUCUGAAAGAUUGGCCAUUUGUAUUGUUUUCCCCAAGCUGCAUAUUCUCUGCGUAUGAUUUGUGUGAUUUCAGGUCUACGUGAACUAAUCUGAACAGCAUGUGCUGAUUUUGAAAUUACCUUUUUUGUAUCCGGAUCAAAUUAAACAUCUCAGUAUUCUAUGACAA